UUGGAGCGAGGGACCAGAUUCCUGGGUUCUGGGCUGAGCUUGACUCGUCACUCAACCUCAGUGCCACGUUCCAAGCCUUGGAAUCUCAUAGCUUAUCAGGGACCCAGGACAAAUGAAGGAAAAGGAGGAGAGCUGUGUUUCCGUAACGAAUCAACCCUGCAUCUGAGACUCCAGGUUGUCGCGGGAGAAGAGUCAUGGUGUGGAUAUGCUGCAUAAAGUUCGGUCUUUACAUGAGGGCUUUUCCAGGGAUGUGAGUCUCCUUUCCCCCUAUUCCAGAAUCAACUGCACCGGAUAAUUCUACCCUCUCGGAAUGACUUGGCUGAGAACAAAGAAAAGAGAAAAAGAAAUGAAGUUCUUUUCUUCC